AUGGAUGACUUUGUUUCAUGGCACUACAACCAUACUGGGAUUUUCACAAUCAAAACAACAUAUCAUAUGGAGUGGGAGAAAUAACAUGGACAGAAGUUGAGGAGAACCAAUUCCAUGAUUUCCUCAAGUACUUCCUAUAUGGGUAUCCUAUGGAAACUUUGAGUUCCAGCAAAGGUGAAAAUCCACUACUGGAGAGCACUCUUUGGGGCAAUUCCAUGUCAUGGUAUUAUGGCGAACCGUCACAUAAUUACUAGUUCACAGUGCCCUAUAUGCGGAUUGUACUGCGAGAGCUUGCACACUUUUUUCAAGUGCCCAAGAGUCCAAGAAAUUUGGACGUUGCUAAGUAUGGCUAGCAAGAUCAAUGACCUAUGUGAGUUGGAGAGGGGAGGCUCGUCAGUGCUGGCUGAAUUAUUACUUGCACCAUGUAUGCCAGCACCUUUUCUUCCUGAUGUGAAUUGCAAGGAGCUAAUUGCAAUAGCAUUUUGAGCAAAAAACAAGGGUCCAGGGCAAAUCAAACGACAUGGAUGGACUAAGCUGAGCGUGGGAUUUGUGAAACUCAAUGUAGAUGCAUCCUUCUUCGAGGAUAGUGGAUCGGGAGGGACAUGCAUAAUUCUCCGAGAUGCCUGUGGGAUGUUCAUAGCUGCCUCUUGUAGUAGUAUACAAUACGUCGAGGACGCAGCAAUGGCGGAGGCCAAAGGGCUACAAGACGGACUAAUUAUGGCGAAUGAUAUAGGUUGCAACAACCUGGUUAUCAAGGCUGACUGCAUGGAAGUAAUCCAAGUGAUGCUCAAUGGAGGCAACUCACUAGGGUCGACAACAGCUAUCUACGAGGAGUGCUCUUUUAUUUGUCGUAACUUUAGUUCUCUUAAUUUCUUUCAUUGUCCAAGGGAAGCCAAUAUGGUGCCAGAUUUGUUGGCUACUAUGUUUGUCGGAUUAUGGGAUCUGCAACCCUUGAGAGGUUCGAAUUCUAGGUGCGUGCGGACAUCUCAACCUCCCAGUCUGCCUACUCGCCAAUCUCACAGCCUAACACGAGGAACUCAAAGGAAAGGGGACACAGCAGUUUACCCAGGUUCGGGCCACCUUGUGGUGUAA
rnacentral:rRNA from 1 species